rnacentral:snoRNA from 1 species
GUGGAUAUGAUGAUUAUUUCCCCAGAUGAUCGAAGCUGAAAUUACUGAGCGACUUUUGUUUCUCAUUUACGAGAAUCCAAGCCAGAUAAUCUGAUCCAU